AAUAUUUCACUCCACUAUAGUCCUGUUUCCAUGGUUUCUGGGGAUAAAACUAAUGUAAUUAUCUUUGCUUCUUUAUAGAUAAAGUGAUUUUUUUCUUCUGGCUUUUUUGAGAUUUUUUUUAUGACUGAUUUUCUGGGUUUGGAAUAGGAUAUGCCUAGUUGUAGUUUUUGUUUGUUCGUUGGUUUGUUUUUCCAUUUAUCCUGCUUGGUGUUCUCUGAGCUUCCUGGAUCUGUCAUUUUAUGUCUGACAUUAACUUGGGGAAAUUCUCCAUCAUUAUUGCUUCAAAUAUUGCUUCUAUUCCUUUCUUUCUUCUAUAUCUGGUAUUCCCAUUACAUACGUUAUACUUUUUGUAAUUAUCCCACAGUUCUUGGAUAUUCUAUUCUUUUUUUUUCCCAGUCAUUUAUCUCUUGGCUUUUCAGUUUUGGAAGUUUCUAUUGUUAUAUCCUCAUGUUCAGAGAUUCUUUCCUCUGCUGUGUCUAGUCUACUAAUUAACCUAUCAAAGGCAGUCUUCAUUUCUGUUACAGUGUUUUUUUAAUUCUAGCAUUUCUUCUUGAUUCUUCUUAAAAUUUCCAUCUCUCUGCUUACAUUAACCAUCUAUUCUUUCAUGUUGUCUACUUUUUCCAGAAAUGCCCUUGUCAUAGUUUUUUCUUUUUUAAUUCCUGACCUGAUAAUUCCAAUAUUUCUGCCAUAUCUGACUCUGGUACUUAUGUUUGUUUAGUCUCCUCAAACUGUGUAUUCUGCCUUCUAGUAUGCCUUGCCAUUUUUUGUUGGAAGGUAGACAUAAUGUCCUGGGUAAAAGGAACUGUGAUAAAUAGGCCUUUAGUAAUAUGGUGGUGAGAUGCAGGGGAAGGGGAAGUGUUCUAUAGUCCUGUGAUGAGGCUUCAGUCUUGUGGUGAGCCUGUGUCCCUAGACUGUGAACUUCACCAGUGAUUUGCUAUACCCUAUUCCCCCACCUUAGGUAGGAUAGGAUGGCUAGAGGGAGCUAGAGUUGGGUAUUUCCCUUUCCCCAAGUCAGUUGGGCUCUGAUAAAACUCCAGCAGGUCAGGCUCUGAUAGAAUAGUUUCACCUGAGGGCAAGCCUUGUUAAGAAGAACAGAAUGCUCUGGCAUAUUUCAAAAUGGUUCCUUUCAUCUUGCACCUGCUGGAAGCAUGAGGAGAUUUUUCUCUGAUAUAUACUGUGAGGACCCGGUCAAGCUCCUGAAGGUAAAACUCACAAAAGCAUGGAGUCCCUCUCUAUGACUAGAGUUUUUGACUCUCAGACUUGUCCAUACUGAGCCUCCAGCAAUUCAUCCGUUGCAGUUCAGGUUUUCCUACCUUGGCACUGGUUCUGGUGGAGGUUUCUGCUCCAGUAAGUUGUAAUUCUCUGUAUCCACUUGUCUCUCCAUAUUUUGCGGCAGUGGUUUACCUGGUGAACCCACUUGUCUGACGAAACUAAGAAGAGGUGUUGAUUUUUCAGUUUAUUUAGCUUUUCACUUAUUUUUAAGACGGAGUGGUGACUUCUGAGCUCCUAACAUGCCAAAUGGGAAGCUGGAAGUCUAGAAGUCUCUUUUUCAAGGUGAAUCUGAUGAUUGGAUGGCUUUAGAGCUAAUUGGCUUUUAAACUUUAAAAAUGUAAUGCCAUCUUAUUGCAAAGAAAAUCUAUGAAUUUAUAAAAAAAUAUAUAAAAUUGGUAAAAGUGGGGCUGUUCUGGUUGAAGUGUGUGUGUUGGUGAGGCAGGGAUCCAGAGCUUUAUCUUCUCAAACUCUCCCCUGGUGCAGCCCCAAACUGCCUCUGCAGAGUCCCUCAUUCGCUAAUCAUACUGCUCUCUCCAGCAUGGGCUGGCGCAUGUCUCCCUCGGACAAAGCCACUGGGAAGUGCAGGCACUCGGAUUGGUGAACCAGAACCGUUACCCUGGAAGAUUAGUCCUGAGCUAACAUCCACCACCAAUCCUCCCCUUUUUUGCUGAGGAAGAUUGGCCUUGAGCUAACAUCUGUGCCCAUCUUACUCUGUUUAUGUAUGGGAUGCCUGCCAUAGCAUGGCUUGAUAAGCUGUGUGUAGGUCCAUGGCUGGGAUCUGAACUGACAAACUCCAGGAGGCUGAAGCAGAGCGUGUGAACCUAACCACUACACCACUGCACUGGCCCCUUAAAUGAUAAAUUUUGACUGUGAAGAGGAAAACAUGGAUUCAUUCAAACUCACCCCUCUCAUUUCUCUUAGUGCAGGGUGUUUGGGAUUCUGUGACCCUAAUUAUGUGAAUAUA
ensembl:lncRNA